rnacentral:miRNA from 1 species
UGUGUGUGUGUGUGUGUGUGUGUGUGUGUGUGUGUAAAAGAAAUCCUCACGAAAAUUCACCAACAUUUGACACAAAUUCCUCCCAACACACACACACACACACACACACACAUU